UCCCCGGUGGCUCAGAGGUUAAAGUGUCUGCCUCCAAUGCGGAAGACCCAGGUUCAAUCUCUUGGUCGGGAAG
rfam:TPA: Bos taurus chromosome 25, whole genome shotgun sequence.